rnacentral:rRNA from 1 species
CUACGGGUUGCUCCAGUGGGGAAUAUUGCACAAUGGAGGAAACUCUGAUGCAGCAACGCCGCGUGGAGGAUGACACUUUUCGGAGCGUAAACUCCUUUUAUAUAGGAAGAAGAUGACGGUACUAUAUGAAUAAGCGCCGGCUAACUCCGUGCCAGCAGCCGCGGUAAUAGCGGAGGGCGCAAGCGUUACUCGGAAUCACUGGGCGUAAAGAGCGUGUAGGCGGAUUAAAAAGUCAGAAGUGAAAUCCUAUAGCUUAACUAUAGAACUGCUUCUGAAACUCUUAAUCUAGAAUGUGGGAGAGGUAGAUGGAAUUUCUGGUGUAGGGGUAAAAUCCGUAGAGAUCAGAAGGAAUACCGAUUGCGAAGGCGAUCUACUAGAACAUUAUUGACGCUGAGACGCGAAGGCGUGGGGAGCAAACAGGAUUAGAUACCCCGGUAGUC